UAGAGAGCAGGUGAGCGCUGAAUUUCCUAGGAAAUCAUCUCCGUAUUAUUUCCAUUAAUCCGCAUUAACUAUAUCCAAAGCUAUUUAUUCUUAUAUUUCAAUGAAGGGCCACAUAAUCAUUCCACGUUUUGACACUGGGGUAUGUCCAUUGUUUCUACUAUUUGUUGAAGUCUUAGGUACAUUUGCGGUCAAUUGUCCUUCCUAAUUUUAGUGACAUUACAUUCUCUUUUAAACAAUAUCCUGAAAAUUUCCCCAUGUACGAUCUUAAAAUUUCAGUUAGGUACAGAUCUUUGAUUAUUGCUUGUUCCAGCAUUUGAGCAAGCAUGCAAGACAAUGUUUGAGCAAGUAGAUGGUGCAUUUCAAAAGGGAAUGUCUGAGCAAAUGUAUGCUAUUCAGCAGCAAGUUGAGGCUGCACAUACUCCGUUAGCGCUAACUCUAAAAGUAAGUUCAAGCCCUAUUUUUGAUAUACUUGUAUGUUAAAUAACAAGAACUUCAAUUGAUGGAUGCUCAUUUCUUUCCAGCCAUCUGCUAAGUAAUGAUUUCUGUAUUUUGUUUAUUUCACUUACUCCCAGGAAACCAUCAAUUCGCGCAGAUGGAGAUGGGCACAACUGGGUACGUGAAGCUGCCUCCGAUGAGGCCAUGUCGGAGACGGCCGGCAGGGCUAAGGCCAAUUUCAGGGUAAGCUUAACGAAGCUGGUCAACUAUAGCCGCUAGCAAGACCAUGCCGGUGGCAAGGUGGGCAGGUCAAUGAGUUGCCCGGAGCGAUAGAGAGCAGAUAGAGUCAGCAAUACAUAGUGUCUCUGGGGGCGCUGUGAUAAAAGGCCUGGAAGCAAUGGCAGUCACUAGCCUGAUGAUGUUUGUUGAAUCCUUGCAAGUAAACAUUAAAGCUGCCAUGAAGCUGGAUGAAGGCUCAUGUAGUCGAUUAACAACACUUACAGAAACAAUUUUAGAUGCUGUCAUUAACAAGUCACUGCUGAAUCUAUUCGAGUUGCUGCACUUAGGAACUCAAUCUUUGUUGAAUAAGUCCUUGACUCUUUUGCUUCUCCCUAUUGUUAAUUAGCAUACCAGGCAAAGUUAUAUUGAAUUUCUUGGGGAUCUCUUAUUUAAGUUUGACGAAGCAUUUACAAUGGCUCUUCAAAGGAGUGAUGUUUCCAUAGUAUCGUGGCUGUGCUCCCAGGUUGAUUUGCGGGCACUAUGUGCAAUGGUUCCAGUACCUCUUAACCAGGGGGUCUUUCUGGCCUUAUUGCAGCAGCUAGCAAUUGACAUUCACAAUGAGACAUCACGGAAGGUUCAAUGGAUGACAGAUGUUGCCAUGGCAAUCAACCCAGCAGACCAGAUCAUCGCGGUGCAUGUGCCACCAAUCUUUGAGCAAGUCUACAGCCAAUUGGCCCACCAACGGACACUCCCCACGGCCGCAUCAGAUGGCACCAGUAUCCGUGUGAUCAUGCAUGUAAUUAACUCGGUUCUGCUUAGCUAAGUAUGUGUUUUGUUGCUUAAGAA